GAUGAGCUAAAUGGCUGGCUGUAUCACCGACUUUUGUCUGCAAUUAGCCAUGAAAUAUAUAUAGUUUGUGCGCGCCACUUAAAACCAGUUUGCUGUUUGCCGAUCUCUUGACUGGGACGAGGAAGCCACAGCAGCAAACAGCAAAGUAGCAAACAACAAAGCAGCAACAA